CCAACAUCGCCUACGUGACCAACAAUGACAGUCGGUACAUUGGACUCAUAUGAAUUAAAUAAAAUAAUUGAAGGUGCCAGCACCGUCCCGAAUUAGGUCAAUCUCUUGGAUCUCUCACCGACAAAGGACGUGCAUACGUGAUGUUUAGGUUAUAUAAGGAAGCUCGACGGUCAGUCCCAGCGCAAUGCGAUAUCAUAAAACCAUGUAGCCACAUACAAUGCGAUAUCGGAUCAACCACGCAGUCACAAGCAGUGCAAGAUGUCGUACCAGCCAGUAGUCUUAGCUCAUCGUUGCUGAGACUACAGUUUUAACAGUUGUAAUUAAUCUCACUUAACUUCUUAAAUAUUCGUGUGAUUUUCAUAACUGUUGAAUAAUUACAACAUAAAAGAAAAUCAAUUCUUUUUAUUUCUCUUCCAAUCAAUCUCUUGAGUAAAAGCCAUUUUCCGAGCCACUGGUAUAUUGGUAUCCCAUCCUGUGGACUUUCAGCGUGAAGACUCCAACAUAUCAGACUCAAGUUUACACCCGAGGAGAAAGAACUAGGUUAUGGAUUAUAUGUGAGGAAGUACUGUGGAACGGGUGUUAACCUCAUUGGAGGCGACUUCAAUAAUCGGUCGACCAUUUUACAAAUCGUCAGGGUUCAAUCUUUCAAUGUACACGGAGUCCCUGGACAUGGUAGUAAUGAAGAAGAUCAACAUAAUCACGGCUGCGACAUAUUGCUGCAUAGCAUUUUAUCAAAAUAGGGAACGCCUCGCCCUGGUUAUUGGGCCAUUCAACCCAGGUGAAUUUGUUUCCUUAAUGCUGGAGAACCUAUCUAACUGCUAUUAUCCGCUUCGUAACAAACAUGAUGACCGCCAAAGAGUAUGUGGAACGCAAGAGAUAAGCUCAGCAGGUUAUAGCUCUCUCAUGACGGUGAAAAGAAAAUAACAGUGCAGAGGCUAGCCAACACACAUACUAAAAAUUAUUUCAGGCGCUGUGGAUUGCUAACCUUUGUUCCAAUAAAAAACUCUGAUAUAUUUUUUUAUCUAAAAUAAAAAUGUGAUUUUUUGACAUUCUAUCA